UCCUUGGUGGUCUAGUGGCUAGGACUCCUGCUUCCCAGGCAGGUGGCCCAGGCUGGAUUCCUGGUCAGGGAA
rnacentral:tRNA from 1 species